rnacentral:rRNA from 1 species
UACGGAGGAUGCAAGCGUUAUCCGGAAUGAUUGGGCGUAAAGCGUCCGCAGGUGGCUAUGUAAGUCUGCUGUUAAAGAGUGAGGCUCAACCUCAUAAGAGCAGUGGAAACUACAUGGCUAGAGUGCGUUCGGGGCAGAGGGAAUUCCUGGUGUAGCGGUGAAAUGCGUAGAUAUCAGGAAGAACACCGGUGGGCGAAAGCGGCUCACUGGGUCUUUUCUGACGCUGAGGGACGAAAGCUAGGGGAGCGAACGGG